AUACACAUAGAAUGAAAAUAUUACAGUAUUCUUAUAGUCGCCACACAAUUACAUACACAUAGAAUGAAAAUAUUACAGUAUUCUUAUAGUCGCCACACAAUUACAUACACAUAGUGAAAGUAUUACAGUAUUCUUAUAGUCACCACACAAUUACAUACACAUAGAAUGAAAGUAUUACAGUAUUCUUAUAGUCACCACACAAUUACAUACACAUAGAAUGAAAGUAUUACAGUAUUCUUAUAGUCACCACACAAUUACAUACACAUAGAAUGAAAUAUUACAAUAUUCUUAGUCACCACACAAUUACAUACACAUAGAAUGAAAAUAUUACAGUAUUCUUAUAGUCACCACACAAUACGCCGGUUUCGAGAUACACCCGAGUUAUUUCCCUUUGGAGAACUCUCUUACAUAGUGAGACGCGAAACAAUUUGUUUACACGCUGGAGUGGGACUAAUAUUCAUAACUGCGUAAGUGAAUGUACUCAGUAAGUUUCUCGUACACUGUUAGAUUACCCGAAUUCGACUGAUACACAAACUAAGUCAGAGUUGUGAAAAGAAAAACCAGAUAGGAUGCCAGUAUUACCAAGAUGGGAGAAAAGGACAAACAUAUUUUCUAAUUAACAUCUUUGUGAUAAAUUUUGUAUUUGAUGCACAUAUAGUAUGCUUUGGCAUUUUGAAGCAAAGGGAAUUUAACAUUUGACAUUGCUAUCAUUGCUAUCAUUUGAAAUUAAAUGUGAUCUUCAUUAUUGUUAUUACACAUGAUCAUUCCUUUUUUAUAACUAUUGAACAUUUUUGUUGAUUUACCUCUUUAGUUUUCUAUAGAUUGAAUAUAUUAUUAGUCUCCUACCGACGAAGUCGAAGGGGACUAGGUUUG